rnacentral:lncRNA from 1 species
UAAUGUAGUUUAAGGGCACAGGAAAUUUUAAAAAUAAGGUACAAUAGUAAAUUUUAAAAAUAUAUUUGCAAUUAGUGGAUGGUGUCUCAUGUAAAACAUCCUACUAUUUAUAAUUCAAUUUUUAUCUUUAUUAAAUUGAGAUAAUGAAGCUUUGUGACUCAGGCUCUGAACUCUCAUGAAAAUCUGUAAUUAGUGAAUGAUCCCAAAGUUAAGUUCAAGAAUUAUGGUACUGAUCUAUAAAUAAAAUAGCAGAAGAAGACCAUUAAUUCGUCAGUGAGGAAUAUGAUGGUUUUUCAAUUUGUUUUCAAAGGGCAGAAAAUAAGGCUUCUAAUUGAGAAUCUCCUGCAAAAUGCAGCACAGUUUCAUAUGAGAGUGCAAGAAUCUUUUACACCAAAACCAGUUUAUGAGGUGUUUUUAAACUUAACAGUACCAUAAAGAAUUUUUCAUUAAAAAGAAAUAAGAUCCUAUUUAUAAAAUAUUUAAAAAAUUUAUCUUACCAUUGUGUUUUAUUUUUCACAAUUGUAAUAAAUCUUCCUAAUUGAAUUGACUUACAAAAUUCGAAUUAUGAAAGUUUAGCUAAUUACAUAUUUUUCUUUCUUUGUUGUUUAGAUAAAUUGUUUUUUAUUUACUCAAUGCUAUUAGAUGGUAGCCUCAGAACAAUAAUGUAAUAUAAUGGUUUAAUGCUCUAAAAUUAUGCCAAGAGGGCACACUAUAAUUUGCUAUGAGAAAAGAAGAAAACUCAAAGCAUAGCACUGAACCCCUUCACAAACCUAUUCUUAACACAAAUUUGGUGUUAAAUAACAUAAGGAGAACUUUUAAUAUAUAUAAAACUACCAGCUUAAAAAUCAAAAGAAGCAGGACUAACAAAGCAUAGCACUGAACCUUAUCGAAGAAAGGGAAAGAAUUUAUUGAAAUUUAAUCACUGGUCUGGAAGACCAGUUACAAAACAAUAUUGCUAGUAAAAUUUCUAAUUUUGAUUAGUCAAUUACAAAAUAUGUUUUUUUUUUUUUUUCUUUGAAAGAAAAUGGCUUUUAAAAUUUAUAAAACAAAUUAAACUUAACAAAUACUCUGGUUAGAACUUGACAAAUACACUGCACCCAUAGACUUGUUGAAGCCGAUUUGUAUGUUGUGCUAAAAGCGCCACCUACAUUAAUUAGAAAAAAAGUUACUUCUUUAGUUGGUUUUCAUUAAGUCUACAUUUGAUUCUCAAAAGACAUUAGUAAUGUAAUGAAAAUGAAUAAUAAUAAAUUUUAAUUGAAGAUAAAUAAUAGAUUUCAGUUAAAUUUAAAUUUUUUUAAAUUAUCUUGUUUUUAAAAACAGUAAAAAUGGAAUUGAUUGAAUAAAGAACUUUUCAGUAAUUCACCAUUAGUUUCUUUUCACUUAGGAGUGUCUUUUUUCUAACAUUUGAAAAUACACAUUAAUUUUAUUUUAUAUUUAAUUAAGAAUUCUUAUCUUUAUUUUUUUCUUUUCCUAACGAAAGGAAAAUCAGGAAAGUUUGAGAACUUGUGGAAGGAUGAACCUCCUCCAGAUGAUCAAGUCAUUAAAACGGUUUCCCUAAACUGGACAGCUUUGAUAGAUCCUAGACUGAUUCCGUAAUUAACUUAGAAUUAAUCUAUUGCUUAGUUCAAUUCACAAUGUACUCAGAUUCAACUAUACAAAUAAUUGCUAUAUAAUUGCAAUUUAUAUGUUAAUUCUAGUUAUCUGUACAUUAUUUUGUAUAUGUUUGGAAUGUACCAGCUUUUCUUCAUAGGUGUACCUUAUGUUAAAUAUUUGUGUUCUAAUGUUAAAUACUUGUAAAUUUAUGAAAUAAAUUUAAUAAGAAUGUUA